rnacentral:lncRNA from 1 species
GGACAAAGGCAAAGGGUGCAAUGACAAUGGUGGCGACAACAUGACGGUAGGUAGCGAGGAUGAAAUUACUCAUGCCAUGCUUCAUGCAAAUGGUGGAGAGGAUGUACAUCCCGGCAUAUCCAAACUGCAGAGAUAUGAUAGCCAAGUAUGGCUUCGCUUUGUUCAACACAUCAGACAAAGCUGAAGCACUUGAUGUUUGGUCUCCCAUUUUUCUGUCUCUUUUACCUCUCCACUACUUGCUCUGAAGCUUACAACUUCUGAAUCAGGAUUCGCCUUCUUAUAUAGGCAGGAAAAUGCUAACACAAAAUAACAACAACAAUAAUAAAUAAAUAAAUAAAUAAAUAAAUAAGCAAGUGGUUUUGUUGUCCAUAUUCAGUAUUUGCAACCUCUUUCUCUAUCUAGUACUGCAAUUGCGAAUUGGUACGUAGUACGAAUUCGGGUAUUGAUUGAUACCCCGUUUACUUUUUAUCAAUUUUAAUUAUUACGAAAAUAAAAUCACACAUAUAUCCUUCUAUAAAUCUGACUUAUCCAUUAAUAUAAUUUAAAGCAGUUCCUGUUAUUACAAAUCAAUUCCAAUAUACUUUCACUGUUGAUGAAAACCAAAAGACUGAAAGAAAUAAAAGGGGAGGGGUGUAUGUGACUAAGAUGCUUUUUGCCUUUUUGUUUUUUCUUGUAUUUCCCAUUUGUUUGAUUUGUUUAUUAUGUGAAGUGGAGAUUCGGUUCAAUGAACAGCCAAACAGUGUUGAGAUUAAGUGGUGAUGAUGGUGAUGAUGCAUGCAGGAAUUAUGUGCCUUUUUACGUGGCCACCAUUCUAAAAACAACUGCUGCCUUGUUCACUUUCUCUCUUUUAUUCACUCAUUUCACCGUCCUUUAUUCUCUGCAUUUUCACUUUCACUUUUUCAUUUUUUCUAAAUCAUGGAUUAAAAAUUCGGAUUUAUUUCCAUCAGUUCGAAUCAACUAAAAUUUUGAGAAUUGGUGGCAUGUCUUGUCUGAUAGUCAGUAUGCUAUAACUUGUCAUAAGUCAAAUGCAUAUUGGUAAAAGAAAUAUCAAAUUAAAUGGAUAAAAAAAUUUAUUUGUAAUGUCUAAUUACUUAUUUUUAAAUAAAAUUUAGAACAUUAAACCACAUUCAUAUUUUUAUUAUUUAUUAUUUAUAUUUAAUAUUAAAUGUAGUACUUAAAAAUAAAAAGUUAUAAUUUCUAUCCAACUAAAAAUCAGAAAUCUAAAUUGUUCCACCUCCAUUCCUAUGUACUUUUACACUUGCCAUCAUAGUAAAUUGACAAAAAUCAACUAAACAAGGAGUUGAAUUCUACUUUGGUUAAAAUUGUCAAAAACCCAAAGUAAAGUCUAAUCUAAUCUAAUUAAUAUUUAUGAUUAGAUAUUGAUCUCAAAUGGGAUUCUUGGUAAUAUUAGAAUAAUAAGAGUUUGAGAUGAUAAUUGGAUUAAGUGGCUGCUGAUUAAUAAUCGAUUAGGCAUCUCUCACUUCAUUUCAAAAUUGUCAAAAAAUUCACAUUUAAUUAUUCUUAUUCCCACCACCACCUGCUUCUUGUCUUUUCACUUCACUCUUAAUGACUUUUGCUUCCUUUGGUUUUGCAUCUUUCAAGAAAAAUGUUCAUCAUUUCAUUAUGCCUUUAUCUAAGAGAUUUCUCAUUUAAAAAAAAAUAAAAAUUUAAGAUGGUAAUAAAACUCAAAGGAUCUUCUGGUGUUUUCAGUGAAAUGGAGAAGCAAAUGAAUUGGAUAUCAACUAAAUGGUUCAAUGAUUAUUGAUAUACAAGUGAAGGUACAUAGAUAUUUUGUAUCCAUGGGAAAUCGAAUCCUCAUAUCACUAACUAUAUAUUGGACCAAAAACAUUGUUAAAAUAUGAGUGGGAGCAGUGAAUUAGACAUAUCAACUGUUAUCAAAAUAAACAAGUCGAUGCAAUGUUGUUGGAUUGAUUAUAUGUGUAAGUUUCCCAAGGAAAGAGAGAUCAUUUAUAAUCAUAAGUAGUAAAAUGUAGGGACAAAACAAAGUUGGUGCUUUUCGUGUUUGGAUCCCAACAUGAAAAUAUCAGGUUGGUUUGGUGGAAUUCCACAUGACAAAUGGAAAAACAAACACAUUGAUUUCUACAUGUUUUCUUUGUAACUAUUAAAACAGAGAAGUAAAUUGUUUAAUUGGUGAUUUAAAGUUAUAUGUUGUAACUAAACUUCUAGUUUUAGACAAAUCCAAGGCCACUUUUGCCUUGUCAUCUCUGCACUUAAAAUCAAACCCAAAGUCACCAUUAUCCCAACUCUUUCGUUUUGGGUAAAAAAAUCAGUUAAAUACGUAUACCCAACACGUAUUCAGACAUUUAUUUUUUUUUCUGGCAAAACCUGAUUUUCGUCUCAUCCAAUACGUACAGUACUUGAAACAGAAGUGUAAUUAUAUGCCACUCAAUCCGAUACGAUUAAUUGAAAAGAUUGAAACUUUAAAGGUGUGGAAUAAUUCGAGCAUUCAACGCCAUAAGAUAUGAAAUUAGACAGAUGCUGAGUUACAUAUAUGGUGUGGAGCUAAAACCUUGUCUGUUGAGUGCCCAUCCAUAAUGAGAGAAAAAAGAAAAGAAAAGAGAAAGAGGGGUGGCCCGGGUGACGAAGAAAGCAUGUUUCUUUUUUGUCCCUAUCAUGAGAGAUUCAAAUCGAAUACAAAUUUAUAUUCAUAUGGUUGGUAGGUAAGCAGAUAUAGGAUAAUAUUGGUAAAAUCAAUUUAAAUGGAUGUCCGGCUCAUCAAUUAAAAAUUUUGAUGAUUGUAGAUGCUGGAAUAGGGUUCAUAAGAUUAUAAAGUAAAAGGAUAAUACAGAAUGGAACUUAUUGUACAAAAGUUUUGAUUGAUGCCUAGAAUUGGUGAAUUAUUGGUUGAGCCGAGUUAAAAAAAUCGAGAAAAAUUGAGUUCUGUUUUUAGUAAUAGGCUAAUUGAAUCAAUUGUCAUAUUUUUUAAAUAAAAUAGGGUAAACUAUUAAAAUAGUAACUUUUGUUUACUUUAGAUUACAUUUUUGUCACUUCUGUUUGAAAUGUUACAUUUUAGUCAUUUACAUUAUCGUGUUGUAAACUGAGCCGUUAAUUGCCGUCAAUGGUGUAACGGUAAGCUGAUGUGGCACGUUAAAUUAUUAUUUCAAAUGAAAAUUUUAGAUUAAAUUCUACAAUUGGUCCUUAUAUUUUUUUAUUUUGAGCAAUUUUAUUUUUUUUCUUUUAUAUUCUUUGAACUUUUCUUUUUUUUUCCAUUUGCUUCUACUUCUCCCUCUAUUUUCCUCCCUUCUCCAUUUAUUUUAACAUAUUUUUUCUAUGUUUUUCAUUUGUUAAAACUAGUCAACAAGCUCACCUCACUCGAAAAAAUUAAAUUGUUCAAAAAAAUAAAAGUAUAGGGACUAGUUUUAACAAAUGAAAAGCGUAGAAAAACUACGUUAAAAGAAAUGAAGAAUGAAGGAAAACAAAGGGAGAAGCAAAAGAAAAUGGAAAAUAAAGAAAAAAAGAAAGUUAAAAAAAUAUAAAAGAAAAAAAUUAAUUUGCUCAAAACAAAAAAAUAUGGGGACCAUUAUAUAAAUUAACCUAAAAUUUUUGUUUGAAAUGAUGAUUUAACGUGUCACAUCAACUUACUGUUACACGUUAAUUGCAAUUAACGGCUCAGUGACUAAAAUGUUACAACACGAUAACAUAAGUGACUAAAAUGUAAUCUGAGAUAAACAAAAGUGAUUAUUUUAGUAAUUUAUCCAAAAAAUACUUAAAGUUUAAUUUAAUGUGUUUUUAUAUAUACUUUAUAUUUUUUAUUUUUAAAUUAAAUCACUAUUAAGAAGCCUCACGAAUUUGACUUAAGAUUCAGUGAUCAUUGAUUUUCUCAUAAAAUGUGAAGAUGAUAAUGACAAAAGGUGUUGACAAUUUGGGAGGCUAAUCCUAUUUUAUUAUAAAUCAUGUGAAAUUAACAUUUCUCAUGAAAUGCCUGAAAAGAGAUGCAAUCCACCGUAAAAAUACUUCUUCACUAAAUAUAAAUAUUAAUAUAUUAUAAACCAGAAAGCACCUUCAUCUUCAAUUAUUUAUGGUGGUAAUUCCCCACUUUGAUAUGGCAAUGGUGUGAUAGUGGUUAACAAUUAUGUCAUCUAGAAUAUAUUUAAAAUGCUCAUUUAACUUAUACUCAAUCAUUGCUAUGAAUUUGAUCCUCGAGAUUUCACUUUUGACCCUCUCAAAAAAUAAAAAUUCAAUUGAAACUAUUUUAAAAUAAAAUUAUUAAUUUUGACCCUAAUUUUUUGUAAAUUUAUCUCAAUCACCCACCAUAAUUUUUGGCUAGGCCAUUAUAUUGGAAAAAUAUGAGAUACAUGCCUAUAAUCAACCCUUUCCAAAUUCAAAUAACAUACCAAGUUAAUUUCAGUGACAAGUUGCAGAGAGGAGUGUAAUAAUGGAAAGGCUUUUAUAUGCACGUAGAUUAAGAAAUAAGUACACUUCGAAAAUGCAGGAAAGGCAAGUAUUCAUGCUACUUUUCUUAAGAUCAUGGUGUCUUUUACUUUCCACCCUGCUGAGCACUGUGAAUUGUGGCAAUGUCAAGCUUAGUGGCAUUAGCACCAUAUUUUUCAGAAAUUGGUAGCUCUGGCUGGUUACAAUCAACGUUUGCAGGUGCAGAUGGUGACCGAGAAUCCUUGCUUUUACCCCACACCACGCAAUAAAGGCCGAUCGCGAUAACGAUUCCCCCUAUGAUACUACAUGUUAUAGUGAAAUGAAAGAAGAAAAUUUUUAGUUAAUGAAGGAAUAGGCAUCGAAAAGGAUAAAAAUACUUUAAAUGUUAUACCUUCAGUGUUUUAAAUUCAUGGCUUUUAUAUGUUCAUAUAAAAAUGAGAUUCCUAGAACGUGUUGUUUUUCUUAUGCUUUCACUCUUUCCUCUAUAGGAUAAGAAGAAAGAAGCUCAUGGUUAAUUGCUGUCAAACACCAAAAUUCUUUAAUGUAUGAUUAUUGAAGGUGGGUUUAGUAAAUUGAGGAUUAGGUAUGCUAAUGGUCCAUCAUUCCAUUUUUUCUUAAUAAUUAAAAACUUAGAUAUCUUGUUUGGGGUUGUACAUAAAAAUGAAGUGAGUUCAAUUAUGGUGCUGGGAAAUGGAUUCAAAUACCUUCCGAGAUGAAGUUGCUCGCCGAGGAUGGCGGAACCGAGAGCAGCAACAAUGAUCAUGCAGAGAGGGUUGAAGGCAGUGACAAAUACAGGGCCUCUUGUUUUCAUGACCAUACCUUGUACGUAAUAUGUAAUUCCAGAGCUAACUAUACCCUUCAUAAAAACCAAUAAUUGGUAGUAAUUAGCAUGUAUUUAUAAUUUGAUUAACCAUAAUGAUAUACUUGAUGCUAAAGGUACUUAGAUAGUUUAGGAACAAUAUGUUCAAUACGGAUAUGCUUAAUUUAUUUCGUAGUUUUCGUACUUACUGAGUACAAUGGAGCAAAAAGCCUAGAGUUCCAUCCCACUGCCCAUCCACUAGGGCGAUGUUCUACAACCAGGGCAAUAGCCAAACUCUGGAUAGUACCCGCCAAGCAUAUCAAGGAGGAAAGAGAGAUCUCCGCCGUGUAUUUCUUUAUGGUGAUUGACUGAACCAUUUGAAGAACAAAAAUUUCAUUAAUUACCUCAAAGUUAAAAGUUUUGCAGUAUUUUUUAUUGUAUUAGACAUGGGAUUUCCCAGGAAUCUCCGUUAUUUGUCUUAAAAAGCCUACAGUUCCACUCAUUAGUGGAUGACAUGUAAGAACUUACUUGCAGAACAUAGAAACAGGACCAGGCAACACAACCGACAAGGAUCAAUAGUGUCCCAGAUAUCCAAUGUUUAUCAGAUGAGUCACCGCUGCUUCCAUUGUGGCUUGUGUGCCUUGACCAUAUUAAAUCAAUUACAGGGCCUUUGUAAAGUGUCAUAAGUAAAGCUCCUGAAAGAGAUACCAGGGUCCCAACGACCUUGGCUAUACUGCGUACUUCCUUCAUCUCUAUAUGCUCUAAUCUGAUCAAACAAUAGGAGCUUCUGUUAUAAACUAGACCUUAGAGUCAAAGAUCAGUCGCAGUUUAUGAAUCCAUUUCAGUGGUUGGAAACUAGAAAAUAUUGAGCAGACAAUUUUUGGAGUCUCCCAUUUGUGAAUAAUAUAAAUGCUAUUAAGGUGGUUUUUUGUGUUGGCUUAAAGUCUUGUUCUGAUAUAGAUUGAUAGGAACUUCAGAAUUUACCGAAAAAUGACUGCAAUCACAAAGGUGACUGAAGGGACAGCAUUCAUAAUAGCAGAUGUAAAUGAUGCUGAUGUAUAUUUCAUUCCCAGGUAAGUGAAGCCUUGAUCAAGAAUUGGCCUGUCAACACAAAUUUUCAGACAUCAAACACAGAAUCCUGUCAUGGAUGACAUGCCACAAUAUAUUGUCAUAAUAGAUUAUGUUGAACAAUUUUAUUUGGUUUGAACCAAACAGGGAAGUUGUUUAUGAUUGGAGUUUCCAUGAAGUUAAAUGGUGUUUACUGUUAAUUAAAAGGUGUAAUUUCUAUCUCUACUUUUAAGACAAACAUAUAUAUAUGUUUUAAGUUAAAGAAGUAUGAAGAGGGAAAAGAUUACUCUAGAAAUCCCAAGGCCAUUAUUUGUAGGAAGAUUGGGAAUGUCAUCUUUGGCCUUGUUUUCCUGUAAGAAAGAGGAGAAAAUGCAUAUUGAGAUUAGUCCUGUUUUAUUUCCACAUGUAAUUAUAACUUCUAUCUUAUGGUGCAUGAACAAAAUCUAUGUUGCUCCGGUUUUUCAUUUUGUUUUAGAGCAAUUGUGCCAUACACAUAUUCACAUUCAAGACAUUGGAGUCCGUGUAACAUAGAUCACAAGUAAUUUAUGCAUGGAUGUGCGUAACAUGCCAAACAUUAUGAUCACCUCUCAAGCACCAGUGCAAAAGGUGCAAGUACGAGUGCAGCAAUGGCAUUACGAUACACGACGAGCACGUAACGGUUCAUGCCUUGGUUGAGAGUCACCAUGCUGAUUAUGUACAUCCCAGCUGAACCAAAUUGCAAGAAUAUCAUGAGGAAAUAAGGUUUUGCCUUGCUGAAAUUUGCACUCAAAGGUCCAUUUGAACUUUGGUCACUCAUCUUUGCUCUAGCUCACUAGAUAAGGAAAGAUUUAUCUGAAUUCUUGACUAGGAAGUGAUAAAAAUUGUUCUUAUAUAUAUGCAAUAAGCCAUGUAAAGGACUUAAAUCAAACCCGAAAUCUGCAGGGUCCAUUUUCCACGAAACUUUAGACAGCAGCGCUUUUUGCCUUUAAUUUCCAUUUCGUUCAAAGUUUUGAAAAAGAAAAAGGACAAUUAAUUAUGUUAUCUUCCAAGCAAAUAGUGCAAUCCUUCAUUUUGGCAGAUGGAGUAGAAGACACAAAAUGCAUAUACACUUAUGCCUAGUGUCCUUUGAUGAUGGCAUGAAUAUCAAUAGUAUUGCAUGUGUCCAGUGGUGGAGUCAGAAAAAAAAUUUGGGAGGCGGGCGGAAUUAAAUUGUAUAUUGUAAAAAUACAAUUUCAUCAUUUUAAUAGAUUAUAUCUUUAUAAUUUUUAAAGGGCCAAAGUGUCAUUUUACUAUUACUAAUUUAAAACUUUAUAAAUUAUAAAAGACUUAAAUAGAAAAUUUUUCAUUUUAGAGGGGGUCAGGGCCAAUGCCUAUCCCUUGGCUCUACCACUGCAUGUGGUUACGCUGAGAUAUGAGCUUUGUAAAAGAAACUACCAACUCAAGAGUGCCAUUAACAUAUACUUAUCCAAGCUUAGAGUGCUAAACUAAAUAAUUAACUAACCAAUCAAUUAACACAUUUAAAAGACUCAAAUAUGAGAUAUGAAAGUUCUCAGACCUCAACUUUAUCCUUGAACCAAAGCCUUCUUGGGCACUUAUCUGUUACUGUUGAAAGCUGGACUGCAAUGCAACAUGGAGCCAGAAGCAUGCUACUGUCGAGACCAGCAGCUAUCGAGCUCAGCUCGUCUUGCUUGGCUCGCACGAAUGGUUUUUGGACCAAAUGAAGCAACUGACAUUGCUGUUUUGUUUUGAUGUAAUUUAGUUCAGUUCAAUUGUAACUAGCUUUAAUAGUUAGCAAGAUUAAGUUAGUGAUUAGAUAGUUGAUGUAAAAGCUGAUAUGGCAGCUCAUUUUGUAUUUGACUUAAACUUACAUUGGUUGUAAAUUAGUGGAGGCAGUUAGAUUAGUAGGUAACUGUCAAAUGAACAAAUUGUAACUCCUUUUAUUUCAAAUUUUGAAUGAAAAAAUGUAAUGUUCAGUUACAAUUCUUGCUGUACAUUCAAGUUUCUUUCUUGCUGCUCUGCUUGUUUUUCUUUUCUGCUUCGAUUACUUUUGCUUCUGCUUGCAAAUCUCUUUGUUGCAUACUGCCAUUGUUCCAACAAAUGGUAUCAUGAGCCCGAGUCUUUGAAGGGCCUUUGCUUGUAUUCUGUUGAUUUCAAUUUAAAAUCUACAGCAAAGCUUAAAACUAAAAAGGAUCGAAGCACUUAAACUCAGUCUAGCAAGAUGAGUUUCACUCCACCACCUCCACCAGUGUUCACUGGAGAAAACUAUCACAUUUGGAUAGUUAAAAUGAAGACUUAUCUUCAGGCACACGAUCUCUGGAGUGUGAUUGAGAAUGAUGCUGAACCACCUCCAUUGAAAGCCAAUCCCACCAUUGCACAGAUGAGGCAGCAUGCUAAGGAGCGAGCCAAGAAGCAUAAGGCUAUGGCCUGCUUGCAAAAUGGAGUCUCUGAUGUGAUAUUCACUCGCAUUAUGGCCUGUGACUCACCAAAACAGGUCUGGGAGAAGCUGAAGGAGGAGUUCAUGGGGACUGACAAGACAAGGCAACAGCAAGUGAUCAACCUCAGGAGAGAUUUUGAAAAUUUGAGGAUAAAGGAGUCUGAGACCAUCAAGCAGUACUCAGACAGGAUAAUGGCCAUUGUCAACAGCAUUAGGCUCCUGGGAGUGGACUUCACAGAUAGCAGAGUUGUUGAAAAGGUCAUUACAACUCUCCCUGAGAAAUUUGAGUCUAAAAUCUCUUCACUUGAGGACUCGAGGGACUUAUCAGCCAUUUCAUUGUCUGAGCUGAUAAACUCCCUGUAUGCACUUGAGCAAAGGAGGGCAAAUAGGCAGGAGGAGAAUCCUGAAGCUGCUUUCCAGGCUAAAGCCAGUGAAGGCUCAAGUAUGAGUGCAAAAGGCAAGAAGCCUUGGUACAAUAGAAAGGCCAAGUCAGGAAGAGAUGAAGCAAAAAGGGUGUUUCCACCAUGUGUUCACUGCAAGAAGACAACACAUUCAGAAAAAUAUUGCUGGUUUAGGCCAGAUAUUCAGUGCAGAAAGUGCAAGCAGUUUGGUCAUGUAGAGAAGGUGUGCAAGGGCAAACCAAGGGAGGUUGCUCUACAACAAGCUAGACCAGCCGAGGACAUGCAAGCUCAGGAGGAGCAUGUGUUUACAGCAGCCUGUUUUGUUGGCACAACAAAAACCAGCAAUGAUUGGCUACUAGACAGUGGCUGCUCACACCAUAUGGCAGCAGAUGAGAAGUUAUUCAAGGGCUUAGACAGAAGCUUCCACUCUAGGAUCCGAAUUGGAGAUGGCAAGCUGAUUGAGGCUAAGGGCAAGGGCAGUGUGCUGGUUAGCACUGGUUCAGGUAACAAGCUAAUCUCAGAUGUGCUUUUUGUACCUAACUUAGACCAGAAUUUGCUUAGUGUAGGCCAAUUAGUUGAAAAGGGCUAUACAUUGGUUUUUAAGGAUGGUUGUUGUACUGUUCAAGACAUGAAUGGUCUGGAGUUAAUCUCAGUCUCCAUGACAGAUAGAUGCUUCAUGCUGGAUGUUAGCCAAGUAGAAAGAAAGGCAUACACCAGCCUUGCUGACAGCACUGACUUGUGGCAUAGGAGACUAGGCCAUGCCAAUUUCAGAUCGCUUGAUCUGCUACAUAGGCUGAAUUUAGUUGAUUACAUUUCAAAAGUUGAGGUUAGUGGGAAUGUUUGUGAGGUUUGUCAGCUUGGUAAGCAGGCUAAACUGCCUUUUCCUGCUGACAGUGCUUGGAGAGCUCAAAACAAGCUCGAAUUGGUGCACUCUGAUGUUUGUGGUCCUAUGAGAACACCUUCAAUCAGUGAGAACAAGUACUUUGCCCUGUUUAUAGAUGAUUUAACAAGGUUAUGCUGGGUCUACUUCUUGAGGCAAAAGUCAGAAGUGUUUGAAGCCUUCUGUAAAUUCAAGGCUUAUGCUAAAAAUCAGUCAGGCUGCAAAAUUAGAGCUUUGAGGACUGAUAAUGGCUCUGAAUAUGUGUCUGAGAGAUUUCAGAAGCUUUGUGACAGUGCUGGGAUUCAUCAUCAGCUCACAACAGUCUAUACUCCUCAACAGAAUAGAGUCUGUGAGAGGAAGAAUAGGACUGUGCUGAACAUGGCCAGGUGCCUCUUGUUUCAAGGCAAGCUUCCAAGUCAGUUUUGGGCUGAGGCAGUUAACACCUCAGUGUAUCUAAGUUUCGUUAGUACAUAAAAAGAUAAAUAACAAUAAAUAACAAUAAUAAGAGCGAAAACAAUAACAAUAUGACAAGCCAAAUAAUUAAGAAAAGAAAAACAAAGAGAACAAAAAAAUUGAAUAAAUAAAUAGCUAAACUGAUUUAGGGACUUAAUCGUGAUGUAAAUUAAUCAAAGUUAAAGGACAAAUUAAAAUAAAGUAAACAAAUACAAGACCAAAAUGAAAGACGCGACAACUAACAAGGACCAAAUGGGAAUAAAACCCAAAUUCGGACACGUGUCCAUCGUUUCAGCGCAUCAGUGAGCCAGGGAUGAGAUAAAAAAAAACAAAAUUUCGGCGCUAAAUUAAAAGGAAACAGAAAUGAACAAAAAGCAGUAGAUUUAAAAUAAAAUAAACGUGGAAGGACCAGAGUCGCAAAUAGACCCUUUUACCGCAGAAACACGCGGAUCUUGAGGGUUCGGGUCGGCUGGAUCGGGCUAGGCCAAAACGGCACCGUUUUGGGACCUAUGCACACAGGCCAAAACGACGUCGUUUAACCCUGCUAUAUAAACAAAAUUUUUUUUAAAAAAACUUCAUUUUCACUUCCCUUCUUCAAAAAAAAAACAAAAAUUUCUCUCAAACCCUCUCUCCCCCUCCGGGCACCGGCCUUGCUCCGGCCAACGGCCCGAUCGUCCGCCGUCUCGCCGUGUGCGGAUUGCCGGAAAAUUCAAAACCCCCUUUUUCACUCCUUUUUUCGAGGAGAGCCUGGAUUUGGGUCAAAAACACCGAGAUUUUGACAAAAAACAGGCAAAAAACGAGAAAACCCCUUGGUUUUCUCUUCUUUUUGGCGAUUGGGGUAAGAACUCUCCUCUUUUCUUCUUUUUAUUUAAUAUAUAAUCUUAUAUAUAUAUAUGCUAAAAAAACAACAAUGAAAAAAAGGAAUAAAUAAAUCAAGAUACAAAAUGAAGAAGAAGAAAGAAAAACACCUUUUCUUCAAAUUUUCGAUUUUUUAUUGAUUCAUCAACCCCUUUUUUUUUAAAUCCGUUUCCUCCCCCUUUUACAAAUCUGUGCUUGGGUUUUAUAUAGCCGAUUUACAAUAUAUUUUUCUACUAUUUUGCACUGUUUCGGCUUCAUCUCUGUCACUGUUUUUUUGCUGCUAUUUUCACCUUUUUGCUGUUUGUUUUUGGAUCUUUUGCAGGUGUUGAGGGGUCAACGGAGCAAGGUUUUGCCGUUUUGGUGCAACCGGGGGCUACCUCGGGCCGCGUGCACGCCGACACUGCACAUGGAGGCAGCGGCGCAUCUGGAGGCUAGGGUUUAGGUUUUCUUUUCUGAAAACUUUAGGUUGUGGGCUUAGGGUUUUCAUGUGGGCCUUUUGGGUAGAUUUAGGUGGGUUUUUGGGCCCGGGCAAAAUGGGCUUGUACAGUACUUUUUCAAAUUCUAAAAUUUCAGCCCUCACCUACAAUAACUUUUAAAUUCAUUUAAGUUUUCUAUUCUAAAUUUUUAUGUAGCAAACAUAUUAUCAUAUGUGUAAUUAUGACGCCCCAAACCCGGCCGAGACAAUUCGACUUGAAUUUCGAAUGUCAUAUUAGUCACCAAAGCGACUCUCUGUUAAAAACAACACGAAGCACACCAACCAACCAUGCACACCACACAUUUGCAACAUAAAUCAUAUUAAAACUAAUCCUAAUUACAUGCCUUUCUAAAAAUACCAUAAGAACAAAGUACAAAAAUUUCAGGUUUUAAACCCCUACGAACCCACCUUGUGACGAACCCCCAUCUAGAACCCCAAGCAGCUUGCAGACAUCUGGCGAGCUCUAGCUCGCGACCUUACCACGAGCACAGGUUGUAACUUGCCCCGCAAACCCCCUGGUUCACAUCCUAACUGGCGAUCUAGCUCACAUCUUACCCUGCAACCACUCUCCUCCUAGCGAACUUAGACCCCAGUUUUCCCCUCAACUGAACAGACUGCUCUAGGAAAUGCUAUACUCGUGAACCUUUUUUUUCCUUGGCGCACCAAAUACCCAUGGCGAAUCUACUGACUUGGCGAGCCCUCCCCAUUUCGGCAAAACUCCCCAUUUCGGCAAACCUAUGUACUUUAGUGUACUAACCUACCCUGGCGAACUCAUCCUGGUGGCGAAUUAUGCACUAUGGCGAAGACUAUGUUUUGGCUAACACUAGCUUUGGUGAAUCCCUUAACACUGGCAAGACCCUGUACUUGCAACCCCCAAGCUCGCACUAUGCUUAGUUGUUUCAUGCAUACUAAGCCAUUAAUUUGCUUUAUCAUACAUAAAAAGGUAAGGGCGUACCUUAGAACCUGACAAGCUCCUUAACCUACAUAAGCUUAUUAGCUCUUCAAUUUAAUAACAAUCAACAUGUAUAAAAUCCAAUCAAUCAUGCAUUCAACCAAGCAAUUAUAAAGUCCAAAAUCCAAAAUUAAAUAGAACCGCCAAAAUUUAUUUUAAAAUUCUAAGUCUAAUUCUAAUCGCUUAGGACAGUCUCACAUUACCUUCCACUUUACGGUUUGAAACUGUUGGAACAUUUUCAAAUAUUUACAGUGUUUUAAUAACUAUAAAUGAAUGGGUGUAAUUAAUCAACAAUUAUAUUAUUUGAUUUUUUGAAAAAGAAUUAUAACUAUUUAAAUAAUACUAUUUGAAUAGUUAUAAUAUUAAAUGAAUAAUUAUGUGUUUAUUUUAAAGACAUUAUUAUUCAGAAAGACACAUAUUGAAAGAUGUCUCUAUGAAGAGACAUGAAAAUUCCUAUAAAUAGGAAUGCAAUUUCAUUUGGAAAUCACACCAACAAAUUCUAAUAUUAUUUCUUUCCUUCCUUUAUUUUCUAAUAUUAUUAGAUUAUUUUAUAAAGUAUUACUACAAAAAUCCUUUAUAGAAAUUGAUAACACUCUAGAAUAACGUAUCUUUAUGUAUUAAUUAUAUAUUUAUUCUGAGUAUGAUCCUUCUAAUUUGAGCUAUUUAUGAUCUUUUAUCUCAUAGGGACUAAAUUUGAGGCAAAAGCAAAAUUAAGGGCCAAAAGCGUGAAUUUAGAGAUAAAAUGGGCCAAUGUGCAACACAAGGAAAAGUUGAUGCCAAAAGUGCAAGCAUGGAGGAAACAAGGGUUGAAAUGCAAAAAGAAGAGAUUUUAUUCUAUCAGACUCUAUUUUAAUUAUAUUAGGAUAAUUAAUAUUAAGAUAAUUAUUAAGGAUCAUUUAAUUUUAGGAUUUAAUUUUAUUUAUCUUUAUUUAUCUUCAGUUAAAUGUAUUUAUCUUUUGGAAGUUUAAGUAGUAUUAGACUAUCUCCCCUAGCACUAUAAAUAGGGGGUGAAAUGACUCAAAAGGCAUCCAUCUUUUUUUGUAAACACUCUCUCCCCAAAAGUCUAGGCUUUUGUUCUUCUCAUAUUUCCUUUCAAUAAAAUCUCCAUUUUUAUUUUAUUUAUUUUCUUUUCCAGCACAACCAUGAGUCACUAAAUCCAUCUAACCAAAGGUUGUCGAUUUUCCCCAAAAAGGGUUCUUGAGGCUUAGAGUCCAUACUUAGCUUCCUCGUCGAGUAUUCAUCAUUUCUCUGCACUACUGGGCUGACGCUUCCAUCUAUGUCCCUUAAGAAGUAAGCUUUUCAACGUAUGCAAAGGCAGCAGCUUUAUAUGUUUUGGGAAGGUUGCACAAUCGGUUCGUUAGCUUACUGCGUCAGAGGUUGGCGAGCCCAAGAGAUAAAAUGGCGCGUGAUUUGACAUUGAGAAGCGAUUGUUGGCUAGAGUCAGGCUCCAUUAAAUUGUAAGUCUAAAUCCUUGAAGCUGGUGGUCGUAGGCGUCCUCUUCCACUAUAACUAGCUUAUUCGGUUUGGGAAGGAUCAUCUAAAGCCGAGGAUUGAACCCAAGGCGAAACGAGACAACUAGAGGCUGGAACCUCCCAUAAGAAUUCCUUUAUCUCAACUCUAUUUUUAAUUUCUCGAAUUUUCGAUUCAAUAUUCUUAAUUUUGUUUUUAUUUUAUUUUUCGUUUCCAGAUCCAAACCUUUAAUUCUGUUAUUUUCUUAUUUUUUUCUAGGAACGCAAGUUUUCUUGGGUAAGAUUCUGCCUAGGAUUUCACGGAAUAAGAUAUUCUGCAAAUUUAGUCCUUGAAGAUUUGACCUUACUUCCCCUUUACUUUUCUUUUUCAUUAUUUAUUAGGGAUAGGAUAUUUUUGGUGUUUUCAAUGACCGCAUUAUUGAGUUUCUUGUCAUGCAUUGCUCAGUGUGUAGUGGGCUAUCCUCGUCAGUGCAAAACGCAAAUAGUCAUUGGCUUUAUUAUAUCCUUAAGGUUAAUUUGCUUGGAACUCAUUUGCACACCAAAAAUAGGUAGGGGCGAAUAUAACUUUAAAUAUAGUGACUUGAUACAUGCCUUGGAGCCUUGUCCUAUUUCUUCUUUUCCUGUUCGAGUUUCGUUCAUGUGUUCGAGAUUUUCUUCACAGGAGAUUUGUACUAAUAGAAACACAAGUCACAUACUCAAAGGGAUUUGCCUUGGGAUGGAUCACCGGAUUGCCACAGUUCACCACUAGUCCCACGAGCUAUUUAUCUGCAAGGUAUAUGAAAUGAGUAUGAGCUUAUGAAACUUAGUGAAUGCUCAAGCAUACAACACAUAAAACGCAUCAAUCAUGCUAAGAUUUAAACAUACUAUAACAUUUCACAUACAAUACAAUAUUCAUAGUCAACAUGGUGAUAUAUUGGCAAUUUGUGAAUGUGAAACAUAAUCAUAAUUUGUUUGCAUUGGAUAAACGGAUCUCCAAAACAUACCAAAUAACUCAUAGAGUCAUAUGCUAUCUCCAUGUAAAUGUAGCACGAGUGUUCACACUCUCCAAACAUAUCACAUUGUCUACGAUGAAUGGAUCUAUGCUCGACAUUCCCUCAUCUCUCCAACGUUAUCUCUGGGCCACAAUGCCUUAACAUAUAAUAAAAUCGGUGAGUACUCACAAUCCUAUGGCAUGUCAAUGAUAUCCAAUGAUUUCAAGUGUUCAGAAUGUCAACAUAUCACUUUUAUCACAUUCAUAAUACACAAUAUUAUCGGACUCACAAUAUAGCAGAGUUCACAUUUCUGCAAGGCUCGCAAUACACAUAGGUUCACAUAACAUAGGGUUCGCAUAACACAACAUAAUGCUAAUAUACAUUUAAGGCUCGCAUACAACAUAUGAGUUCGCACAUAACAUGAAACUCACAUAAUGUAGGGGCUCGCAUGCAAUAUAGGGCUCACUCAUAUAUAUAUAAGCUUGCAUAAAUCAGGGGUUCGUACAUAUCUAGGUUCACAUAGAUAUAAGAGUUCACACAUGUAUAGCAGGGUUCGCAUAAGGUUUAUCAGGGCUUACAUGAUGUAAAUCGAGUUUGCAUGAGAUCAUAACUAGCUUUGCACAUUAAAUAGAAGGGUAUGCCUGCCUUACCUGGCUAUCCUUAGCAUGCGAACUCGUGCUUAUGAUGUAGUGUGCAAGAACACUCACCUGUUGAUUCACUGAUACUACUAAACCUACACCACUUUUUCCUUCCCCUUAUCCUUACUCGUGGACGCUCCCUCACGAAUAGAGGCUUCGCAUAUCACAUAAAAACAUACAGGUUAUUUUCAUUUUUAAACAGACUGAGCGACCACCUAGUAACAUAGUAGCUCGCCACUCUUCUAAAUCUAGAGAGCUCACCUCGCGUGACUUUAAUCUUCAAAUUACUUCAAUUUAACUUGACUAAACCCUCGAUUUUCACUUCCUAACAUCAGAUCUAAUGUUUAAUUAUAAAUUUAGAUCAUUAAUUUUAUACAAUUUCACUAAUUAACUUUUCCGGAAAAAUCAUGUUCGUUUUCAAUCUCAAGAAGAAAAAUCAUUUGAUUCAUGCAAAUUCUUUAAGGAUUUAUUAAAUCAAGUUUAUAAACCACUUCAUUAUUGUAAAAUGAGUUGAAAAUCAUUUUAAAAUCAUCACUUAGCUCUCUAUUACGAGAUUCACCAUUUUUAUGCAAAACCAAGCUUUAAAACCAUAGAUAUUAGAAUUUCUUAAUUAGAUCUAUAAAAACACAAAUUAAUCCCUAUUACGAGAUUCAUCAUUUUCUUAAAAUGGUAAUUUGCACUCUUGGCCCCUUAACUUUUCAGUGCUUAUAUUUUAUCAUUUUAAGUUUAAAUAUUUACAUUAGGCCACAAUACUUUUUAUAUUUUACGAUUUAAUCCCUGACUCAAAUUAACAUUUCACAACAUACUUCUUAUUUCAUUUUCCUCUAACAUCCUUUAUUCUUUACUUUCUUUAUAUCUUAUUUCACUAAAAAAAAAUCUAUCGUAUAUUAUUUUUGACUAAGGGGAUUUUUGGAUGUUACAAAAAGGAUGAAGGGAAAUUUGAGAGAAAACUCUUGAUUUAAGAUCUUAUAUUAUUUUUGAAAUGGUUGAAAGUGUGGAGGGAAGGGACGGUGGGUGGUCUUAUAUAGCCAACUAAAUUUUAAAAUUUGGGCUAUUUACCCCUAAGCCCCCUACUAUUACCUCCCUUGUUCUAAUAACUCCUAUUUCAAUUAAAUCUUUUAAUUUACACAUUAGACCUCUAAUUUAAAAAUUGUUCUGAUUUAAUCCUCACUAAUAUAUUUUUAUUAACCCAAUUACUAUUAUUAUUAACUAAUUAAUAUUUUAUUUUAUUUUAUUUUCUAUGUCACUAAUUUUGAUUCCUCACUUUGCUAUUUCCACGUAUUACUCACAAAAAUUUAAUUAUUAGGUUAACAAAAAUAACUUGCAUCAAGACUGAGAUUUCAAAAUUUGAACAUUAUAGAGACUUAGAAUGAUCCAGUUAGAAAAUAUAGACUAAAUAUACAAUUGCACGCAUAGUACAUGCUAGUAAUUGAAUUUAACCAAAUGAAUUAAAUACUACUAUUUGGGUCAGGACUAAAAUUUCAAAGUUUAAAAAGUACAGUUUAAAAAGUACAAGAAUGAAAUUUGACCAAUUCGAAAAGUAGUACUAAAACUGAUUAAAUUAAAGUACAAAGACUAAUAGUAGAAUUUAACCUAUUAUGUCAUAAUGAAUUGUGAGUGAAGAAUGAAGAUUUCGAAUAAUCUUAAAACAACCUAUGGAUGGCAUCAUUCAAUUUGGUCCAAAACAAUUGUUUCUUCUUUUUAACUCAUGUUUGGUUCUUUGUUUCAUAUGAUAUCAGCUAGCCUUUUCUAACCAUUUCUUCCACCAAUUAAGUGAGAGCUGACUGGGGAGUAAGAAUCCAAAUUAGAAUAGGUUAAUCUUGAAGAAAGUGGCUUUUCUUCCACAUGAUUACACAAUUAAAAAACAACAAUGGGGUUUAAGGCUUUAAGCAAGCAAUUAAGGGGAGCUAUCGGAGAAUAAGAAUCAGUUUAAUCAUAAAGAAAGUGGAAUGUUCCGUAGGAUUAAACAAUUAAAAACCAACAAUGGGGUUCAAGUAAAUUCUAUUUUAGCCUUCAUAUUCUUCACGUUGCCAAAGUUAUAAACAAGUAGAAUUAAUAUAUAGCUACGUAGCUAUUAGGAUAAACUUAAAAAAUGAUUAACCUGGAAAGUUUGAGAUACCAAUACAAUUCAUGGAACAAGUUAUUUUUAUUUUUGCAGUAGAUAGUAUCGGAUGAGUUUAAGCCACAACAGAAAAAUGUAUGGAGAAGGAAUAUUCGGACAAAGAACAUAGGCAAACCGCGAUUGAUUCAUGGUUUUUACUCACAAAAUUAAAGCCUCAAGAGUAAACUGGAUUAUUAAAGAAAAAUAAAAAGAGUACAAUCAAAAGAUGAUUAUUAAGUUACAAAAGUACUUAAAGGGAGGGGGUGGAUUACAUAUAUAGUAGUUUUUACCGCCUUGGGAAGAACUACUCUGCUCGAAACAUAUCAAUUUUAAGGGAAAUAUUGGAUAUUGUUUUAUGUUCCUCGAGUGCUGAAGGUGUUCUUUAAAUCUGGAAUGUUAACAGCAUUGGCAGCUCCAUCAACAUCAUUCAUUGAUCUACCAUUGUCUGUGAUUGGCAGCUCCUGCAGGCCGUUGCUUUUCUCUUCAAGUUCUGGGGUUUUCACAUCUUUGCUUUUGCCCCAAACCACAGUGUAAAGGCCUGAGACUAUGAUAAUGGCUCCCAGUAUGCUGAAAUCAACCAAAUAAAAGAUAAAGAAGCAAAUGAGUAAUGGGAAACAAGGAAUACCAAUGCAGAAAUCCACUAAAUGAAUAAGACUUCUAAAUUGUUUAAUGGAUGGUUAAUAAAAGAAAAGAGAACUACUUGACAGUGCAUUUUGUCACUAUCUGCAAAAGUAAUAUUCUCUAAUAAAACUUUGAUAUAUUGUGCACCGUAAUAUUAUUUCAUGUGUCAGUGAAAUUUCUUAUCAUAACAUAUUUGUUAAAGAUCAAAGUGCAAGUUGUUGCGGGAACAUGUUAGAUUGCUGUUAAUUUCAUACCUUCCAAGGUGGACUUUUUCAUUUAACACAAAGGCCCCUAGCGCAGCAGUGAUGAUCAUGCAUAGAGGGCUAAAAGCUGUUACAAAGACCGGCCCUCGUGCCCGGCUCACGAUGCCUUGCACGUAAUAGGCUAUCCCGGAGCACACUAUUCCCUAAUCAAUCACAGAUUAUUUUGAAGUGUUAAGCAUUUGUGGUUACUGAUUAGUAAGACGUUUAGAGUGCAUCAUGGAUGGGGAAAAAUGGACUUACAGAGUAAGAUGCAGCAAGAAGCCUGGAGUCGAACCCAAUUUUCCAGGCGCUUAGAUCACGAACCAUGAUAAACGACAGCCCUGCAUCUUGCACCGUUCCCAUGAAACAUAUCCAAGCUGUAAGAGACAGCUCUGCUGGGUACUUCUUCAAUGUGAAGGACUGGACCAGAAACAAUAACCCAUUAACGUUAGCGCGUAAACAAUUAAAUAGUUUUAAUGAAUUAUAUUUGCUCAAUAAGAGACGUGAAUAUUUCAACUAACUUGCAAAAUAAAGAAGCUUGACCAGCCAACGAUACUUCCAAGAAGCGCUACAGUGCCAGAAACCCAGUGUUGACCAGCAGAUUCGGUGGUAGUGCCAUGGUGUGUGGCUCCACCUGACUUGACGAAGUCAAUAAUGGGGCCUUUGUACAAGGUCAUCACCAUUGCACCCCCCACUGUGAUUGCAGUUCCAACCAACUUUGCAACACUGUGUAUUUGCUUCAAAUUGAUUUUCUCCAACCUAUUUGACAUAAAUAAUUACCCAUUAAAAAAUGAUAAUUUCCUUCAAUCUUAUCGAUGAUAUGAAGAUCAUGAUGGAACCUUUUAAGUUAUCUGAUGUGGUGUGGUGUAGUGUGCAGUGGCAUAUGUUAAUGGAAGUGAUGGAUUUUACCUGAAAAUCAUGGCCAUUAUGAAAGUAACAGCAGGAAGCAUGUUGACGAAAGCAGAUGAAUAUGUUGCUGUUGUGAACUUCAUUCCCAGAUAGUAUAAGUUUUGGUCAAGCACUGGCCUGCGCAUAUAUAUUCCACUGUCAACUCUAUUUCUUCAUAAAUAUAUCAACAAACAAGAAAUUACAUGCAUUUAGUAAAUGCAUGAUAAAGAUGCGAUAAGUUUAGAGCAAUACUCCAGGAAGCCGAGAACAACAAUCCUGAGGAAGAUAGGCAGGGUCAUCUUUGGCCUAAUUUUCCUGCAUGUACAAACGAAUGGCAAAGGCAGCAAUGAGGCUGGGGAUUAUAUAUGCAUGUCUCUACAUGAAAGUGUGUAGUGAGAUUGGGGAGAAAAAUGAACCUUUCAAGGAAAAAGGCAAAGGGUGCAAUGACAAUGGUGGCGACAACAUGACGGUAGGUAGCAAGGAUGAAAUUACUCAUGCCAUGCUUCAUACAAAUGGUGGAGAGGAUGUACAUCCCUGCAUAUCCAAACUGCAGGGAGAUGAUAGCCAAGUAUGGCUUCGCUUUGUUCAACACAUUAGAGGAAGCUGCUGCACCUGAUGUUUGGUCCCCCAUUUUUCUCUCUUUUAUGAUCUCUCCACCACCGCUUGCACUGAGGCUUGGAACUUAUAAAUCAGAAUUGGCCUUCUUAUAGGGAGAAAAAUGCAAACACAAAAUAAUAAUAAUAAAUUAAUAUAAGCAAGUGUAGUGUUUCCCAUAAUGUAAAACUCACUUAUCCACUAAUAAUGAUUAAAAAAUUCCUCAUUAUCACAAAUCAUUUCGAAUACCAUCGCUUUGCUGAUGAAAAUCAAAAGAAUAAAACAAAAAAAGGCGGGUGUUUAUGUGGCUAUCUGUUCAUAUGAUUCUUUUGCCUUUUGUUUUCCUUUUACUUCUCGUUUGUUUAAUUUAAUUACACUAUUUAUCAUGGGUUUGGAUUCAUUGAACAACCAAAUUAUGUUUAGGUUAAGUGCGGAUGUUGCAUGCAGAAAGAAACUAUGUGGCUUUUGCGUGGCUACCAUUUCCAAAAUCAACUGCUUCCCUAAAACCAUUUACUCACGGAAUUCACCCUCAUUAUGGUCUCCUUGUUUUCACUUUCCAAUUCUUUUUUUUAUUGUCAGUUAAAAAAUUGAUUUGAUAGAACUCAUGGCAACUGAUUGGUAAAAAUAAAAGCGAACACAAGAGACAUAGGCGAGGGAUAAUUAACCCAAGUCAAUAGAUUUAUCCCAUACAUUUCAUUCGUGGUCCUUUAUUCUCAUGAUGCAUCAAAGAAUCAAAUCAAUAGUAAUCAAAGUAUUUAGUGGGGAGUAUAUUUCAUUUAGUGUGGUUUGCAUGUAGUAAGACUACUUUAUUAACAUCCCAACAAGUCCAUUGGAAGGACAACGAUCUAAAAUAUGAUCGUAACAUAAAACAAUCGUCAAGAAUCAUACCUAGUUCAAUGUCUAUGUUAUGAUGAGACGACAACACUUCAACUACCAAUAAACAAUCCAAUUCCACAAUAACUCGAUCCAACUGAAGAGGCUUUAAUUAAAAAAGUGAUUCUCUAAUACCAAUCACUUCAACUAGUUAAAGGUAAGUCAUCCCCUCUCCCCAACUAGUAUAACUUUAAACCCCGUUCACAAUCAUUAUUUACAUUUAAUAUUUUAAACUGAAAAUUAGAAAUCUAAUUGGUUGAAUCUCCGUACCCAUUUGUUAAUACGGUGUUAAUAGAGUUUUUACAGAGGGGUAAUAAAUUGUAAGCUUAGAAAUAUAGAAAUGGUAGCAUCUUUCAGAAAGGACAGAGAACAAAACUAAUGUAAUUAGUGCAAGUGACGUCGACAAAGAAUAAUAUAUUUAUGAUUAGACACACAUUAUAUUGCUUAGAGCAUCUUCCCAAACUGAAUAUUGCUCAAGUUCGGAUAUCUGGAAUUCUUCGUAAGAUUAGAAUAAUAAGAAUUUAAGAUGAUAAUUGGAUUUAAGUGGUUGCUGAUUAAUAAUCACUAAUUAGAUUAGGCAUCUCUCACUUUAUAGCUUCGAAUGUUUGCAUAAAAAUAACAUACAACUAUUCUUAUUCCUGCCCCUGCUUCUUGUCUCUUCAUUUCACUUCACUUUCAAUAAAUUGCUACCCUUUUUACGUAGCACAAAUUUGGAGCAACCACUUGUUUUGCAUCUUUCAGAAAAAAAAAAAACAUCCUUUUAUUAUGCCUUAUCUAUCUAUCAAGUUUUAUUUUAAAAUGUUCGUGUCCAUCAUGACGUAUAUUUAAAUAUGACAUAAUAAAAUUCAAAUACUUUUAAUCAAAAUAAAUGGUUCAAAGAUUAUUAAUACACAACCAAGUUACUUAUUUGAAUUCAUGGGAGAUAGAAUCCGCAUUUCACUAAAUAUCUGUUGGACCAAAAAUAUUGUUGAAAUAUGAGUGGGGGAUACAAUGAUGAGUAUUAAAAUACUGGGUUAAGGCAUGUAAUUGAUGUGUGGGGGAGGAAUCUUCUCUUUAAGAGUGAUUUUAGUUAAUAUGAUCUUCCAGGCCGUAUACAUAGUGUACACAGUACAAUUUCAUAGUAAAAAGAAUUUACCGUCAAAGCAAAACGAUAUUUUAGUUAAAGUUUCAAAAGGAAAUAUGGAGAAAGUUAUAGAGUAAGGUUUACUAAUAGAUAAUAUGGUAGUAAUUUGAAUAUAAGCCUAAAGAUAGCUGGUGAUAAUUAAAAGUACUGAAUAUUGUAGUUUUUUGCAUAAAUGGCAUCAUGCCUAUUGAUUUAUUUGCUUUGUUUAGUUGUGAAUUCUUAAGCUUGUAUAAGCACCACUAAUCUCGUGAAAGUUCAACAUUGUUUUCCCAAGUGUUGGUGAGAGUUUUUUUGCAUUCUCCUGCUAGUUUGGUAUUGCUUCACAACACCUUAAAACUAGGUCUCCAACUUAGAAUUGUCAAUUCUUGACUCCUCUAUUAUAGCCCCUACCAAUUUGUUGUGAUGAAAUAGCAUUAGAAGCUGCAACCCACUUGUCUAGUUUCUUUAUGCAUCAUGUGGAGUGUACGCAGAGGCUUGCGUUUCCAUUCUUUUAGUGAAGACUUGUCUGCCGGUAUGUUUGUGUGACAUUCCCAAGAACCAACAACCGCAAUUAAGGGAGAUAUAUAGCGGAGAAUAAGAAUCCAUAAAAUUAAAUUUAAGAAAAAAUGUUUUCAAGUGAAUCAGUUUCGUAAAAUGAAAAUAUUGCUAUUAAAAUAGGUUAAUCAUAAACAAAGUGAAAUGUUCCAUGUGAUUAAACAAUUAAAAACCAGCAACGGGGUUUAAGCAAGCAAUUGAGCGACUGGAAUGUAAUAAAUAAAAAAUGUUUUAGGGAAUGACUUCCAGUAAAAGAAAAUGUUGCUAUUAAAAUAGGUUUAUUAGGAAGAACGUGGGAAUGCAACCUUCUAAUGGAUUUAUAUUUAAUGCAUUGUUGGAUUAGAUUAUAUACCAUCAAUGUAUCAAACAUUAUCACGUUGGUAUGAUUAAAUAGUUAAAAACCAAUAAUGGGUUUAAGCUAUUUUCUUUUGGUUAAAUUCUACUAUUAGUCCUCACACUUUGUGGAAGUUGUGAAUUUAGCCCUUAUUCUUUAAUUUGAUCAAUUUCAAUCCUAUUUUUUUUUUAAUUGGUUAAUUUUAGUCCUUACUCAAAUAGUUGUAAUUAAUUUUUUUGUUAAAUCCAAUUACUAGUAUUGUACCACACGUAUAAUUGUAAAUUUAGUUUGUAUUCUUUAAUUAGAUCAUUCUAAGUCUCUUUACUUUUUGAAUUUUAAAAUUUCAGUCUUGACAUAAAUGACCGUCGUUAAUCCAUCAACUGAAUUUUUAGUGAGUAAUAUGUGGAAAUAACAAGUUGACAUGGUAUUACACACAUGAUAAUAUAUUUGGAGAUCAAAUUUUAGAAAUAGCAGAAGUUAAUGAAUUUAACAGUUAUUGUUUGAUUACGACUGAAAAUUUAAAUUUUGAAAAGUACAGGGACUAGAAAUAAUCAAAUUAAAGUACAUGGAUUAAACCCACAACUUUCUCAAAGUACAGGGACUAAUUGCAGAAUUUAACCUUUUCUUUUAGCUUUUAUAUCUUCACCUUGCGAAGUCAUAAACAAGAAGAGCAAAUAUAUAGCAAUGUAGCUAUCAGGAUGUGAAAAAGAAGCAAAAAAAGUUCCAUACGCUUGAACAAAUGAUGAACGUGGAAAGUUUGAGAUAGCAGUAAAAUUCAUGGAGCAAGUUAUUUUGACUUUUGCAGUAGAUCUUUUUGUUAUAGUAUCCGAUGAGCUUAAGCCAAAAAGAAAAAAAGAAGUACGGAAAUGGAAUAAUUGGGGGAAAGCAUAAGCAAACCGCGAUUGAUUCAUGGUUUUUACUCACCAAAUUAGCCUCAACAGUACAAUCAAAAGAUGAUUAUUAAAGGUAGAAAAUAGUUUGUGGGAGGGGUGGGUUACAUAGUAGUUUUUUAUCGCCUUGGGAAGAACAAACUCUGCUUGAAAUAUAUCAGCAUUUUGAAGGAAAUAUCUAUAUUGUUUUAUGUUCCUCGAGUGCUGUAGGUGUUCUUUGAAUCCGGAAUGUUAACAGCAUUCGCAGCUCCAUCAACAACAUUCAUUGAUCUACCAUUGUCUGUGAUUGGCAAUUCCUGCAGGCCGUUGCUUUUCUCUUCAAGUUCUGGGGUUUUCACAUCUUUGCUUUUGCCCCAAACCACAGUGUAAAGGCCUGAGACUAUGAUAAUGGCUCCCAGUAUGCUGAAAUCAACCAAUCAAAAGAUAAAGAAGAAACAAAUGAGCAAUGUGAAACAAGGAUUACCAAUGCAGAAAUCCACUAAAUGAAUAAGACUUCUAAAUUGUUUAAUGGAUGGUUAAUAAAAGCAAAGAAUUAGAACACUAAUUGUUUAAUGCAGGAAAUUUUAGAUUGCUGUUAAUAUCAUACAUACCUUCCAAGGUGGAUUUUUUCAGCUAAAAUAACGGUCCCUAGCGCAGCAGUGAUGAUCAUGCACAGGGGGCUGAAAGCUGUUACAAAAACCGGCCCUCUUUGCCGGAUCACGAUGCCUUGCACGUAAUAGGCUAUCCCGGAGCACACUAUUCCCUAAUCAAUCAUAGGUUAUAUUGAAGUGUUAAGCACUUGUGAUUCGUAACACUUUUCGAGAGCAUCAUGGCUGGUAAGAAAAGGGACUUACAGAGUAAGAUGCAGCAAGAAGCCUGGAGUCGAAGCCUAUUUUCCAGGCACUUAGGUCACGAACCAUGAUAAAUGACAGCCCUGCAUCUUGCACCGUUCCCAUGAAACAUAUCCAAGCUGUAAGAGACAGCUCUGCUGGGUACUUCUUCAAUGUGAAGGACUGAACCAGAAACAAUAACCGAUUAACGUUAGCUCGUAAACAGUAAAGUAGGUUAAUAAAUUUUGUUUAUUGAAAGAGACUUGACAUAUUUCAACUCACUUGCAAAAUAAAGAAGCUUGACCAGCCAGCGAUACUUCCAAGAAGCAUAAUGGUCCCAGAAACCCAGUGUUGAUCUGCAGAUUCAGUGUUAGUGCUAUGGUGUGUGGCUCCUCCUGACUUGACGAAGUCAAUAAUGGGGCCUUUAUACAAUGUCAUCACCAUUGCACCGCCCACUGUGAUUGCAGUUCCAACCACCUUUGCAAUACUGUGUAUUUUCUUCAAAUUGAUUUUCUCCAACCUAUUUGACAUAAAUAAUUCCUCGUAUUAAAAAAUGAUAGUUUCCUUCAAUCUUAUCGAUGGUAUGAACAUCACGAUGGAACUUUUUAAGUUAUCUGAUGUGGUGUGGUGUAGUGGGAGGUGGCAUAUGUUAAUGGAAGUGAUGGAUUUUACCUGAAAAUCAUGGCCAUUAUGAAAGUAACAGCAGGAAGCAUGUUGACGAAAGCAGAUGAAUAUGUUGCUGUUGUGAACUUCAUUCCCAGAUAGUAUAAGUUUUGGUCAAGCACUGGCCUGCGCAUAUAUAUUCCACUGUCAACUCUAUUUCUUCAUAAAUAUAUCAACAAACAAGAAAUUACAUGCAUUUAGUAAAUGCACAAUAAAGAUGCAAUAAGUUUAGAGCAAUACUCCAGGAAGCCAAGAACCACAAUCCUGAGGAAGAUAGGCAGGGUCAUCUUUGGCCUAAUUUUCCUGCAUAUACAAACGAAUGGCAAAGGCAGCAACGAGGCUGGGGAUUAUAUAUACAUGUCUAUACAUGAAAGUGUGUAGUGAGAUUGGGGAGAAAAAUGAACCUUUCAAGGACAAAGGCAAAGGGUGCAAUGACAAUGGUGGCGACAACAUGACGGUAGGUAGCGAGGAUGAAAUUACUCAUGCCAUGCUUCAUGCAAAUGGUGGAGAGGAUGUACAUCCCGGCAUAUCCAAACUGCAGAGAUAUGAUAGCCAAGUAUGGCUUCGCUUUGUUCAACACAUCAGACAAAGCUGAAGCACUUGAUGUUUGG